UACGUAGGGGGCAAGCGUUGUCCGGAAUCAUUGGGCGUAAAGCGCGUGUAGGCGGUCCGGUAAGUCCGCUGUGAAAGUCGGGGGCUCAACCCUCGGAUGCCGGUGGAUACUGUCGGGCUUGAGUACGGAAGAGGCGAGUGGAAUUCCUGGUGUAGCGGUGAAAUGCGCAGAUAUCAGGAAGAACACCCGUGGCGAAGGCGGUUCUCUGGGACGGUACUGACGCUGAGACGCGAAAGCGUGGGGAGCGAACAGG
rnacentral:rRNA from 1 species